rnacentral:rRNA from 1 species
GACGAACGCUGGCGGCGUGCUUAACACAUGCAAGUCGAACGGAAAGGCCCUGCUUUUGUGGGGUGCUCGAGUGGCGAACGGGUGAGUAACACGUGAGUAACCUGCCCUUGACUUUGGGAUAACUUCAGGAAACUGGGGCUAAUACCGGAUAGGAGCUCCUGCUGCAUGGUGGGGGUUGGAAAGUUUCGGCGGUUGGGGCUGGACUCGCGGCUUAUCAGCUUGUUGGUGGGGUAGUGGCUUACCAAGGCCUUGACGGGUAUCCGGCCUGAGAGGGUGACCGGCCACAUUGGGACUGAGAUACGGCCCAGACUCCUACGGGAGGCAGCAGUGGGGAAUAUUGCACAAUGGGCGGAAGCCUGAUGCAGCAACGCCGCGUGCGGGAUGACGGCCUUCGGGUUGUAAACCGCUUUCGCCUGUGACGAAGGGUGAGUGACGGUAAUGGGUAAAGAAGCACCGGCUAACUACGUG